CCCCCUCGCGAGCCCUCUUUAGUCUCCCCCAACCUCCAGCGAAGCCCUCGAAGCCUGCUUUCUCCCCCACCCCCCGAUUGAUUACAGGUUUGGAUGGCAUCGCGAAGAGAGUGGCUUCUUCUUCUCUAUGAUUUCGACUGCACGAGAAGCAAAUUCUUCAUUGGGCACAUAUACUUCAAUCGGUACUACUUGAGAAAAUCCUGACAAGAGUGAAUGAACUUCGGAAGAGAGGGAGGGGAUGCUUUAUUGCUACGUGAGUAUGAAGCUCCAAAACAAAAGGACAAACUAAAAGAGAGAGAAUGAGCUUCACAAGCAAGAGGACGAACUUCGAAGAAGGAUCGUAGAGAAUAUGGGUGUACGCAUAUUGUUGUGUCGAUACUGGAUCGUAUCUCUUGUAAUAGUUUUCGGUUGGUUCAGACUGUAGAUGUAUCAUGUGAGUUUUAAGUGUAAAUAGACUGAUCGGAUCCUAACAUGUAUGGUAUAUUCUCUACAAAUAUAAUUAUGACAGCUUAUUAUGGAUAUUAAGUUGACUUUUCUGUUGUUUAUUCAA